rnacentral:rRNA from 1 species
AUUGAACGCUGGCGGCAGGCCCAACACAUGCAAGUCGAGCGGAUGAAGAGAGCUUGCUCUCUGAUUCAGCGGCGGACGGGUGAGUAAUGCCUAGGAAUCUGCCUGGUAGUGGGGGACAACGUUUCGAAAGGAACGCUAAUACCGCAUACGUCCUACGGGAGAAAGCAGGGGACCUUCGGGCCUUGCGCUAUCAGAUGAGCCUAGGUCGGAUUAGCUAGUUGGUGAGGUAAUGGCUCACCAAGGCGACGAUCCGUAACUGGUCUGAGAGGAUGAUCAGUCACACUGGAACUGAGACACGGUCCAGACUCCUACGGGAGGCAGCAGUGGGGAAUAUUGGACAAUGGGCGAAAGCCUGAUCCAGCCAUGCCGCGUGUGUGAAGAAGGUCUUCGGAUUGUAAAGCACUUCAAGUUGGGAGGAAGGGCAGUAAGUUAAUACCUUGCUGUUUUGACGUUACCGACAGAAUAAGCACCGGCUAACUUCGUGCCAGCAGCCGCCGUAAAAC